rnacentral:rRNA from 1 species
AGCGUAGGCGGCGCGGUAAGUCAGAUGUGAAAUCCCGGGGCUCAACCCCGGAACUGCAUCCGAUACUGCCGUGCUAGAGGAUUGGAGAGGUAGCUGGAAUUCACGGUGUAGCAGUGAAAUGCGUAGAUAUCGUGAGGAACACCUAUGGCGAAAGCAAGCUACUGGACAACUCCUGACGCUGAGGCUCGAAGGCCAGGGUAGCGAAAG